GAGAAUUUGAUCCUGGUUCAGGAUGAACGCUGGCGGCGUGGAUAAGGCAUGCAAGUCGUGCGUCUUUAUUCCGUGUUGUAGCAAUACAACAUGGAAUGAGGUAGCGGCGAACGAGUUAGUAACACCAUGGUAACCUACCCUUAAGCGGGGCAUAGCUUGCCGAAAGGCGAGGUAAUACCCCAUAGCAAUGCGGGGACAUAUGUCAUUCGCAUUUAAAGAUCAUCGCAAGAUGAAUCACUUUUGGAGGGGCCUAGGUCUGAUCAGCUAGUUGGUAAGGUAAUGGCUUACCAAGGCUAUGACCAGUAGGGGGGCUGAGAGGCUGAUCCUCAACGACGGAACUGAGACACGGUCCGUACACCUACGGGUGGCAGCAGUCGAGAAUAUUCGACAAUGGGCGAAAGCCUGAUCGAGCGACGCCGCGUGCAG
rnacentral:rRNA from 1 species